AACGAACGCUGGCGGCAUGCCUAACACAUGCAAGUCGAACGCUCGUAGCAAUACGGGAGUGGCAGACGGGUGCGUAACGCGUGGGAACCUGCCCAGAGGUUCGGAAUAACUGCGGGAAACUGCAGCUAAUACCGAAUGUUGCCUGAGGGCUAAAGGAGUAAUUCGCCUUUGGAGGGCCCGCGUCCGAUUAGCUAGUUGGUGGGGUAAUGGCCUACCAAGGCGACGAUCGGUAGCUGGUCUGAGAGGAUGACCAGCCACACUGGAACUGAGACACGGUCCAGACUCCUACGGGAGGCAGCAGUGGGAAUAUUGGACAAUGGGGAAACCCGUGAUCCAGCAAUGCCGCGUGGGUGAUGAAGGCCUCGGUUGUAAGACC
rnacentral:rRNA from 1 species